UGUGAUAAUUGGAAAGUGUUAUCUUAUCAGUACUUUGGGUUUAAAAGAUGAGUUGAAAUUUGUCAUUAUUUUAGUUGUGAUGUUAAAUGUGAUAAUUGGAUAGUAUUAUCUUAUCUGUACUUUGGGUUAUAAAGAUGAGAUGAAAUUUGUCAUAUUAUUUUAGUUGUGAUGUUAAAUGUGAUAAUUAUCUUCAUUUUGGGUUUAAAAGAUGACGAGUUGAAAAUUGUUACAUUAUCUUAGUUGUGAUUUUAAAAGGUGAUAAUUAAAAAAAAAAAAAAACAUUAUUCUUACCUUUAUUUUUGGGGUUUAAAAGACGACAAGUGGAAAACCAUUAUCUUACCUUCAUUUUAAAAAGCAACACAUGAAAAACUGUCAUCUUCACCUUAUUUGCACUUUAAAAACAGACAAAAAAAAAAAAAAGUAACUUAAUUUUGACAUUCACUUUUAAAAGGCAACAAGACGCGACAAAUCCGAGGCGUCACACCCAGGAGGCAGUGACGGAGGGAGGAACUGUACAUUGGGAGGGAAAAAUAACCUAGCAAAAAUUUAAACAUUGCCAUAAAAAAAAAAGAAAGAAAGAAAGAAAAAGACUUGGGCGUUGUUUGCGAGGGUGACAGUGCAACAUAGGAAGACGUGUGUGUGUGUGUGUGUGUGUGUGUGUAUAGGUAACCCAUCCACACAAAUAGCAGCAAUUGAAGUGUUGCCAUAAGAGAGAGAGAAAAAAAAUAGUGGAGUGUUAUCAGAGGUACAGGUAAAUCUCAGUAAAGGAAUGUAGAAAUCACAAAGAAAAUAAUAAUUCGCUUCAUUCUAACUUACAAUAUACAAGUGACAAGCGUUAGGUAAUUAAUAAUCUCAAAAUCUAAUACCAUUUUGCCUUAAUAAACCCUUAUAAACCCUAAUUCAGUCUGUAAGGUAUAACAAAUGUUUCUGUUUGUUUCUCUAACUUUACAUGCUCGAGUGCUUAUGUGUAUUAUUUAACAGUUUUCUUAUUUUACUUAUUUGGGAAGUGAUAACCUUGUGUUGGAGUUUUGCAUUAAUCUGGGUGUCUGUCUGUCUGUCUGUCUGUCUGUCUGUCUGUCUGUCUGUCUCUCAUAAUGCUUAAGGGUUGUCAUUCUUCUGAUUCUUUUAUUUCUGAUUUGCUCUCUUCUUGUUAGGAUAGGGGAGUGUAUGUUUGCUCUCUCUCUCUCUCUCUCUCUCUCUCUCUCUCUCUCUCUCUCUCUCUCUCUCUCUCUCUCUCUCUCUCUCUCUCUCUCUCUCUCUCUGUUCCUUUCAAUUAUUUCGUUUUUUCACAUUUAACCAUUAUUUUCUUUUCUCUUCCUUACUAUCUUCCUUUCUCUCUUAACUCCCUCCUUCCCUUCAUCCUUUAAUCCUUUCCUUCCCUUCUCUUCCUCCUUUCCUUCUUUCCUUCUUUUUCUUGUCACACCACUUUUUUUUCACCUUCCCUCUCUCCCUCUCUUUCCUCACUUCUUCCAUUCUUCCUUUCUCUCACUCUUUCUCUCUGUGUGUGUGUGUGUGUGUGUGUGUGUGUGUGUGUGUGAGUGAGUGAGUUGCUGUGGGUACUUAACCAGUGAGAUGCUGCAAGGCGCUGUGUGGUGCUGUGUGGGGUUCCUGCUGGUGUAAUGGGAGGGUGGUGGUACAAGUGGAUGCUGUGUGAGUGGCUGUGCAGGGGGAGUGCUGGGGGUGUCUGGGCAUGGAGGGGGACACUGAGGCAUAUUCAGGCAUGGGGGACCAGUAAGGCUUCACCACUAACAGAUAACAAGUGAGGUGCAUGGUGGGUGUUCAGGGCCUUGUUUGGGCUGGCAUGUCUUGUGUGGUGUGUGCUGUGGUGUGUGCUGUGGUGUGUGUGUGUGUGUGUGUGGUUCAUUUGAGUCUGUGUGUCGUAAUAAUUGCCUUGCUGUGUUGACAUAAAGUGACGCGUUGAAGGUUGACGUAAAAGUUUUGUUGACUGAAAGCUGAUAGAGGGAGUUGACGGAAAGUGAAUGUUGAAGGUUGACGUAAAAGUUUUGUUGACUGAAAGCUGAUAGAGGGAGUUGACGUAAAGUGAAUGUUGAAGGUUGACGUAAAAGUUUUGUUGACUGAAAGCUGAUAGAGGGAGUUGACGUAAAGUGAAUGUUGAAGGUUGACGUAAAAGUUUUGUUGACUGAAAGCUGAUAGAGGGAGUUGACGUAAAGUGACGCAUUGAAGGUUGACGUAAAAGUUUUGUUGACUGAAAGCUGAUAGAGGGAGUUGACGUAAAGUGAAUGUUGAAGGUUGACGUAAAAGUUUUGUUGACUGAAAGCUGAUAGAGGGAGUUGACGUAAAGUGAAUGUUGAAGGUUGACGUAAAAGUUUUGUUGACUGAAAGCUGAUAGAGGGAGUUGACGUAAAGUGAAUGUUGAAGGUUGACGUAAAAGUUUUGUUGACUGAAAGCUGAUAGAGGGAGUUGACGUAAAGUGAAAUGUUGAAGGUUGACGUAAAAGUUUUGUUGACUAAAAACUGAUAGAGGGAAAUUAAAAGGGAGAUUAAAAGAUGUAAGAUGUGCUGUUAUAGUGGUUCACAAUUAAAGAUCUGUUAACUGACUGAUGUGCAUGUAUUGACGUAAAAAGGGACUUAGAGAAGACUUGGGUGAAAGAUCUAUUGACAAAAUAUUAACAGGAGAAAAUAGAAAAGUUAACAGGAUAUGAGAUGUGCUGUUAUAGUUGUUCUGAGUUAAAGACCUGUUAACUGACGUGCAAAAAUCAUUAUGUAUUGACGUAAAAAGUGACAGCGAAGACUUGCGUAAAAAUUCUAUUGACGUAAAAGAUGUGCAAAUGACUCGGAUGUGUAAGACUCCUGCGGAAGUUACACCGUGUUGACGUAAAAACCGACUUAGUGAAGAUUGACAUAAACAAUGAACUGACACAAAAUACAUUAAUGAAUAGAAGUAAGUAAGAAAAGAUUAAAAAUAUAAAUAGCUCAAGUAAUGAUUUAAGUUUGGCUGACACAAGAUUGGUACAAGAACCUCAAAAUUCCUGUUGACUGAUUUGUGUGUUGACUUAAAACUGACUUGAGUGUUGUUUUGAGUGUGUGUGUGUGGAAGGUGUGUGGAGAGAGAGAGAGAGAGAGAGAGAGAGAGAGAGAGAGAGAGAGAGAGAGAGAGAGAGAGAGAGAGAGAGA